rnacentral:lncRNA from 1 species
GAAACUUGCUGAAGGCAGAGACAAGGCAGCUUGUGUGAACAUUCCCUGGUGUUCCACUGAAGCCCAUCCACCACCUGCCCCUUCCCUCCUUUGCUCCCUCUUGGAACCCCYGAGCAAAGCCCUUUGCUCCUCCUGCAGUGACGGUCACCUCCCCAGCUGGCCUCGGGUCUUCUCCCCUUGCCUGUUGGUGAGAGAAGGACCCUGAAGCAGAUGGCAAUGUGGAGCAACAGGAAGAUGUGGGAACGGCUGCCAGCCUCGCUCAUCCCAAGGAGCUGCGGGGAACGAAGGGGCAGCAGAAGGGUGAAGGCCUCUCACCCAUCGCUAUUGCUGAAACCAAAGACGUGGAGCUGUCUCCCUUCCUCUUCCAAAGGGAAAUAAUUCCCCCUUCCUUCCUCCUGCCGCCAGGCUCCAGUUUCCAAGGAGACAGCGGUUCAUGCCUGGAGCACGCAGCAGGCAACUUCAGGCGAUACUGGCGUUUUCCUCGCUGGCAGUCCUUACUGAGCGUGCCGUGCACGCCGAGCCCUGCAGGAGGAAGGUGCCCCGUGGAGAAGCC